rnacentral:lncRNA from 1 species
GCCAGCAGACACGCAUGGUGGAACACAUGUGAGCAGGACAGGAGGGCCAUCUCUCUGGAACGCCUGCCUGCACCCACGCGCUGACCGCCAGCAGCGGAGAGAGGGGCCAGGCAGAUGGAGCACUCGUGGGUCUCCCGGCGCAGAGCCUGCGGCACACAGGACGGGAAGAGGCCACGCGGCUCCCUGCAGGAAGCGUGCCCUGCAGCAGGCGCGAACCACCCGAGCGGCCUCCACAUGCACCUAGACAGGCACGCCGGCUGGGUGCUCACACCUGGGCCCUUGCACCUGUGUCUGCCCAGAGGGGCUGGUCAGCACACCCUUUACAAUGAAGGCUCACAAAGUACACAACUCCAAGUGCCAGUCCAUGAAAGCAGUUCGCAUAGACUUUUCAUGCAGUUGAGUCUAAUUUAUAUUUUACUAUCCACUUACCCUAUGUAACCAAAUAUCAUUUUUACACUUAUUAACAAUUCAUACUUUUUUCUUCCUUAAGAGGAAUUAAAGCAUUUCCUCAAUG